rnacentral:misc_RNA from 1 species
CGCACCUUGCGCCCGUUGGUAUUCCGAUGGGCAUGCCUGUUUGAGUGUCUUGAAAUCAUCAACCCUCUUCGGUUUUGUUACCGUACGGUUGGACUUGGGGGUCUUUGCUGGCGAGAGUCGGCUCCCCUUAAAUGUAUCGGUUUGGUAGUCCUUGGCUUAUGCGUCGAACCAGUAGGCGUUGUAUUCACCUCGCUGAGCGUUGUCUGACUGCGGCUUUGGACGCGAUCCUUACCUCGACUUGCCUAUGGAGUGGCGGUCUACUUUCUUGAACUCUUGACCUCAAAUCAGGUAGGACUACCCGCUGAACUUAA